UGUGGGUUUUGAGGGCACUAUGUAAAGGCUCGAAAGAAACAUGUGACCAGCAUUGACGGUCACACAAUUCUUCCCAGUCCUCCUUCUUGAGGUUCAGCGGAGAGCGAUGGUGAUCAAAAACACCGCCCUCUCUCUCAUGCUUGCUCACGUGUUUUGGGUACAUUGUAGUGGUCAAAGUGAUUACUCCAAGAUACCUCCCAAAGAGCAGAAGUACAUGGAACAUGUCGAAAACCUGCUUCAAGGGCGGGCAAAACUCUCCCUAGAGAGAGCUGUGAAUGGAAUAAUAGAAAACAAUAAGCAUGUCUGCUGGACCUCCACAUUUAUAAAGUAUUCGUGGCCUGAGUAUAGUCACACUGUACAGUUCAUUGACAGGACGAAAAAAGGAGCCGAUCGCAAGCAAAAAAGAGACGCCAACUGGUCCGUGGGGUUGAAGAACGGUAUUCCAUCUGUUUUGGUGAAUGCUCAAGAUCCGCAAGUCUACGGUGAUUACACCCUCUACUUUGCUCGCCCCACAUGUUUCGUCAUGGGAAACGAGACAGGCUUCUGACCAGAUAUCUUUUUUUUUUCAGCUCAAGCCCCAUCUAAUGGAAAUGUUUCUUCAGAGGUAUAUGCAGAUAGGGCAACAUGCCAGCUGUGGUUUCGAAAACGAGUCGAUUGGGAAGAUAAGGAAGAAUGCAUGGCUGCUUUUUUCAGGGAAUGCAAUACUAUAAACGGCGUAUAUUACAAAUACAGGAGAGGUGUGUGCAAUUCGGUUAAUUCUAAC